GCUAGAAUAGCUCGCUUUCUUAGAACGUGUGGCUCUUAACCAUAAGGUCAGAGGUUCAAGCCCUCCUUCUAGCG
rfam:Picea glauca, whole genome shotgun sequence.